AUAAAACUGUCGAACGAAUAUACACUAAGGACUUGGUUAAUCCGCCUUUCAAGGGAAUUAUGUUAUCUUCGCUGCUUGGCGUUCCCUCUGACGUGCGACUUGACGUGCGUCGAAACGAGCCUAAAAAUUACCCAUAACAAUUUGCCCCCGAUUGUUGGGCUGAUUGUGGGUAGAUCAGGGGAACAAUUAACUUCCCACUAACCCACUAUAUUUCAAAACUGUAAUAACUUCCCCACUUAAUUGAUGCAUAAAUAACAGUGCCUCUUCCACUUCUACACACUUCCUUCACUUCUUCUUUCUCUCUCUAAAAAUUCCCAAAUUGCUUUUUUGAUUUUACGUUGUUAACUUUGCAUUUUUCCGGCGACUUGCUCGAAGUUUGGCUACUUUUUCAGGUAACUUUCUUAACUUCGAUCUUUGAUACUUUUCGAUUGUGUAGUUAUCGUAUGACUAGGAAGUCAAUUUUACCUCAAAGGACUAGAUUUUCACUUAGGGUUUUAGAGAGGGGUGAAAGUAAGAUUGUCGGAGACAUGGCUGAUAAUGAAGAUCCUCCUUGCGAUCUUGGUGAGGGUGACGUUCUGGCUUUUAUGGCAUUAGCUGGGCUCCUCGAAUGCGCUCUAAUCCAAGUUCCGACCGAAGAUGAAAGGCCGGAAGACUGGGAGGACCCUUUUAACCUGUCUGACUUGGUUUAUGCGUACAAACUAACUUUUUCUAACAAGAAUAGAUGUACCUUAGUUUUGAGAAGAGGGCAUCCUGUUCUGGUUGAACGAGCAGGGGUGAAUGAUCGUGGUUGGAAGUAACGCUAUUUUUUGUUGAUAGGGAGUCUUUGGGUAUAUAAGCUAGUUGGAUUCGUUGUGGUUGGCGCGACGGAGAUAUCGACGUUGUUGCGGUCUCACCAGGGAGGAGUAGUUUGAAGAAGGUCGAGGUUGUUCUGAGCAUCCCAAUUGGGAAACGGACAUUCGAGCGUCUUGCUAGCGCGACAGGGAACACCGAACAAGCCAGUGAAGGAGAAAAAAUGGCUGCUGAAUCUCAAUCUGGGAAAUCGAAGAUGUCUUAUGAGGAAAUGUUGGAACGCGCUGGGAGAAAGAAAAGAAAGCAGUCUUUAAUCACUUCUGAGGACGUGGUACUGGACGUUUCUCCCCUCCAAACAAUGUAGAGUCCUCGCGCUAAAGCGAUUCCUAAAGCCCCAAAGGACGUCGAUUACGUAGUGCGCGUCCCUUCUGACUUUCUUGCUGGUCCAUCUAUGUCGACGUCACUUUGGCCGGCAGCAGAGAAGUUGUUGUUUCCUGGCGCUGAGAGGCGUCUAGAGAAGAUGUCUCCUGCCCAAAUCGUUAGUGAAGCGGUGUCUCUUCGAGCCUCGGUUGGGACUUUAAGCAAUACGUUUCUCCCCUCCAAACAAAUCAUGUCUUGUUCUUUCUUAGGUUGCUCUUUGCUUUGACACCCUUCUUUCUUUCACAGUCUCUGCAGAAUUCGCUCGCCACUCAAGGUCUUUUUUUUUCCAAUGAAAAGGAAUUGAAUUCUCUUCAAGCCUCGGUUGGGACUUUAAGCAAUGCGAAGCGUGCUGCUGAAGACGAGGUGAAGAAGUUGAAGAAGCAAGUCGAGGAGAAGGACAUGCAAAUCUCUGGUUUCAACACUACUAUGGAGUUGAGGGGAAUGCGU